rnacentral:rRNA from 1 species
GUGGGGAAUCUUCCGCAAUGGACGAAAGUCUGACGGAGCAACGCCGCGUGAGUGAUGAAGGUCUUCGGAUUGUAAAGCUCUGUUAAUCGGGACGAAAGAGCCUAGUGUGAAUAAUGCUAGGAAGUGACGGUACCGGAAUAGAAAGCCACGGCUAACUACGUGCCAGCAGCCGCGGUAAUACGUAGGUGGCAAGCGUUGUCCGGAAUUAUUGGGCGUAAAGCGCGCGCAGGCGGAGCUGCAAGUCUGUCUUAAAAGUUCGGGGCUUAACCCCGUGAUGGGAUGGAAAAUACAGAUCGAGAGGAUCGGAGAGGAAAGUGGAAUUCCUAGUGUAGCGGUGAAAUGCGUAGAUAUUAGGAAGAACACCAGUGGCGAAGGCGACUUUCUGGACGAAAACUGACGCUGAGGCGCGAAAGCCAGGGGAGCGAACGGGAUUAGAUACCCCAGUAGUCC